AGGCCUGAAAGUCCCACGGAGCAUCUCCCAUCCUCACCCUCGGCCUGGAGGAUGGAGGCGCCUGGCCGGCAGCUGUCAGGACUUCGUCAAAGCUGCGCUCAGAUGGAGACAACGUCCUGUCAGGUGCCGUGAUGGGUCUGUGUUGUGCGAGUGUGUUGCUUUAGGCUGCUUUAGGCCACCUGCCCGCCCGAUUCUGUCGUUCUGCGUUUCCGAGUCGCCCUCUAGACGAGCCGCAGCUUCAACGGUGGCUUUAGCACGGUGCUGUCAGCGGCUCAGCGGCUCUCGGUAUGAAAUGCUGAAGUGAUUUGUGUAAAUCAUGACUGUGGCCUAAUGAGGUUUAUUCCUUCCGAACCUUCAAGAAAUUGUUACUGUUCCUGAUGUAUUUUAUGGCAAUCGGCUCCUGGAGAAGGGAUCGAGAGGCGGGUAUCUCUACCCCUUUUUCUAUAUUUUGUGGGGAUGGGGGGGCCUGGCUGGCACCGUAGGGGGCCAGGUGCCCUGGGCUGUGAACUCCUGAAGGCGGGGGACGCCUCCCUCCUCAUCAGGCCUGGAAUGAAGCCCACGUGGGCAGUCAAGGCUGCUCCCAUGAACAACACGCCAGCGCCCCAAGGCUGGCCACGGGCAGGACACAGACAGACGCGUCAUUAGAGCACUGGCGCGGGCGUCUCCGUGGCACGUGAGGGUCCGGGGCCCUGCCUUUGCUUUCGGUCUCUGUGCACGCUGCCUCUGACCUCAUGGUCCAGUGCCUGUGGAAGUGGGUCUGUGCACAGUGGACCUUUUAAAAUAGACACGAAACCUUACAGGGCCUGGCCUCCCCUCUGUGUGCUGCUGCUGUUUGUCUUUUCCUCGGCUUCCCGUUGUUCGACGGAAUGGACUCCACGCAGCUGUCCUGUGAGCUCGACACAGCCAAGCUGGAGUUGGCAGAGCUGCAGACAGGGCAGCGAUGCUGAGCCAUGAUGUCAUCAUCAAAAUGAAGUCAGGUGGACCCUCUGGACCCUCUGAGUUUCCAGCCGAGGAGUAGUGACAUGUUCUGAGGACGGGCUUCCCCUCCCCCACCCUCCAGCUCCCAGUGCCGCCUGUAACCCUCCCCCACCCUCCAGCUCCCAGUGCCGCCUGUAACCCUCCCCCACCCUCCAGCUCCCAGUUGCCGCCUGUAACCCUCCCCCACCCUCCAGCUCCCAGUGCCGCCUGUAACCCUCCCCCACCCUCCAGCUCCCAGUGCCGCCUGUAACCCUCCCCCACCCUCAGCUCCCAGUGCCGCCUGUAACCCUCCCCCACCCUCCAGCUCCCAGUGCCGCCUGUAACCCUCCCCCACCCUCCAGCUCCCAGUGCCGCCUGUAACUGCAACCCUCAGGGCGGUGGGUCUUCAGGCCUAGCUGGACGCCCCAGCUUUGGGCUUGCUCAGGCCGCUGGUCUACGACACCAUUCUGGGCAGGCCUUUCAUGGACACACACUGGCCUCUCAGUUGUUCGGGGUCAUCUGGCCUCACAGUCGUUCAGGGUGGCCUUGAGAAUAGGUGGGUGGGGGCAGAUAUGACAUAGUCACCCCCCAUUUUUUAUUGGGGUAAAAUUCACGUUAGCCAUUUUAAAGUGUGCGAAUCUGGGUGUGCAGAGCUUGUAGAGUGCUGUGCAAGCAUCACCCCGUGAGCUCAGAGCACGGUGUCCUCCCGAGCUGAGCACCGCUCGCCUUCUCCCGCCCUCCAGGCCCCAACAACCAGGAAUCUCUUUGCCGCCUCUGGAUUGACCUAUUCUGGACAUUUCACAUAAAUGGAAUCCUGCAACAUACGGCCUUUCGUGUCUGGCUUAUCCACAGAGCACGAUGUCUUCCAGGUUCAUCAUGCCGUAGCCUGUGUGGGCGCCGGCUCCCUUUCCUCGUCACUCGUCGCUCCCGUGCAUGGAGGAGCACAUCCUGUUCAUUCGUCCUCACCCUUGGUGGUGCUGGGUGGCUCCCCGCUGCUGCUGCUGCAAAUGCUCCUGCACACGUGUUUGUGUGAACGCCUGCUUCCAGCUGAGGGUGGAGCUGCCGAAUCACACGGCUGCUCCGAGCUUAAUUCUCAGACGAGGCUCUGUCAGUCGCACGUGACUGUGUGGGCUCAGGCGUCUGUGCGAGUUGCUGUGUGCGUGUGGGUGUGCGGCCGACGUAAGCUCGUCUGCGUCCCUCACAUUUAGUGUCCAGGGUCGGGCCGCCUGUUACGGACUGUCCUGUUGAUGUGAGAAUCCGGACCCCUUGGAAACUCUCGGCCGUGAUAAAUUAUGAAUCAGAUUUGGGAAGCUGCUGCUUUUUCAUUUAACUGCAUCUUGAGCUUGAGUGGUUUUUUAUUUAUAAAAUCAAUGUGUGGUUUUUAAAAUUAAAAAUCUUCAUAAAUGUUAUCACUGAGAUGAACACAGGUGAGAUCCUCAAAAUGCCUCCUCUCCGGGCACUUUCAGAGAUAAAAAUAAAAGCCAUGCAUCUGGCA
rnacentral:lncRNA from 1 species